AUUGAACGCUGGCGGAAUGCUUUACACAUGCAAGUCGAACGGCAGCACGGGGGCAGCCCUGGUGGCGAGUGGCGAACGGGUGAGUAAUACAUCGGAACGUGCCCGGUCGUGGGGGAUAACGUAGCGAAAGUUACGCUAAUACCGCAUACGAUCUGAGGAUGAAAGCGGGGGACCUUCGGACCUCGCGCGAUCGGAGCGGCCGAUGUCAGAUUAGGUAGUUGGUGGGGUAAAGGCCUACCAAGCCGACGAUCUGUAGCUGGUCUGAGAGGACGACCAGCCACACUGGGACUGAGACACGGCCCAGACUCCUACGGGAGGCAGCAGUGGGGAAUUUUGGACAAUGGGCGCAAGCCUGAUCCAGCCAUUCCGCGUGCAGGACGAAGGCCUUCGGGUUGUAAACUGCUUUUGUACGGAACGAAAAGGCUCUGGCUAAUACCUGGGGCUCAUGACGGUACCGUAAGAAUAAGCACCGGCUAACUACGUG
rnacentral:rRNA from 1 species